GUUUUAUGAGUGGAAAGUGGGCGUGCGCGGCACUUCCCCUCUGUGCCUGAGACAGUGUGGCUCGAAGCACCGUUAUUGCUGUUAUCACAUUAUAAUGUUCUUAUUAGCCAUCACAAUCAGACAAAGCUUAUUAACCCAUUUAAUUGAACCAGGCGUUGAACAUCCCAGCGGCCUCAUGGAAAGUGCUUGGCAAACGUGCGUGCCCCUGC
rnacentral:lncRNA from 1 species